rnacentral:lncRNA from 1 species
AUGGGGAUCCCGAUAUCAAUCCAUGUAUCCGACUACUCUGAUUAUUCCAUCCAGCCUAAAUUUUUGACCAAAUGGUGUCCCACACGUUAUUUAAAGUUACAUCUAAUGCCUGGGUAUGAAUUCCGCCCAAACCAAGUUUAAUUUGUAAACUGAGUAUGGCUGGGUGGACAAGUGAAAAAGCACGGUGUUCUUUUUGAAGGCUUGGGUGGUUGUAGUUUCGUUAGCUGGUCGACCAUGGCUGCUGUUGCUACUUGAUUUUGUGAGGUGCCUGCUGCCAUUGUUGUGGCAGAAAUAGCUGUCACUAUGGAAAUGAUGACAGCACUAAGGGAAGCAAUUUCAAAAUUUGGGGUCUGUUAUGCUUAUGUUGCGGACUCGCUUCCAGUCAGUCUUUUCAUCUCCAUCACCAGCGGUGUGGGUUUUGACAUUUCCGCGCCUUCCAUUGGAACCUCAUGGCGUGUUGGCUGUGAUGGAUAA